ACUGAGGUCUAUCCCGACUGACCUUUACCUAUAGGGCUGUGUCGUUGGAAAUACCUCACAGAAUAAAUCUGUGGUUACGCUUUACCCACAUGUCCACUCCCAUGAGCAUUGUGGGAUAUUACUGCAGGACACAU